AGCAACUCCCUAGUUAUGCUUCUCCCCAGGCUCUGACAUUCAGUGCUUGGAGCUGCAGGAAAGAUUUGCGAACCAGCUUUUCGUGCCUGAGCAGCUGUGCACCUUUGAAGAGUGGAUCUGGGGGCCCAUUUUUUGUGGCUAUGGAAGAGGAUAACCUUCUGAUCACCAGUAACCAACCAGGUAGGAAGAUCCUUGUCGCCUGUAGUUCCAAAAAGCCUCUAAUUCAAAGGAAAGAGCCGAAAGCGUCUAUUGUACUUGAAGUAUUCAUUUUGGGCCACUGGUUAAGAUUAAAAAAGGAAAACAAUGUAGAAGGGUUUGGCUACUGAAAACCAAAGAGAUAGGAAGGAAGGAACUCCAGUUGGAGACAUUUGAUGUAGUUAACAGAUAACUCUCCAGAACAGCUUUCUCGCUCUCAUCCCUUCUGAUUCUCCCCAGAUUAGUUCAAACUUACUUUUGUGCUAAUCAUUUCUCGGCCUGUUUAUCUUGCAUUAAAAAAUUAACAGAGAAUAGUUUACUGCAUGACUUGCUAACAACUGCAAGAAAUGGCACACAAAGCUGCCAGGCUGAAUUCUGAGCCCUUGUGCAAGAUCUUGCUUUGGAUCUAGGCACCUAAGUUUUCAAAAGUUUUUAAAAAGAAUGAUUAUUCCCACCCCUCUAAAGUCAAUAUUUUGUUCCUGCCCCUUUUCCAUGACCUGAGUAUAUAUUUGCUCUCCGGCUGUUUCCAAAUGAAGCAGAUAAAGCCCGCAAAGGCUUGUAUUUUGUCAGACAUUAGUAAACAGGGAUCUUCUUUCCACACCAUCAAAUCCCGUUUGCCUUUUGCCUGAAUUCAUGUCUUAAAUGAUUACAGAGCAGUUCCCCCCCUUCCCCCACGUGUUAAUAACCACCCCUGUGGAAUUCAGCUGAAUCAGAAGGAUGAAGCACAUUUAUGGAUUACUAGCCAGCUGGAAGAAAAGGAAAAAGCAGCAGAUAUAGGUAUCAGGGGGGUACAUCCAUGCUGCAGCUCAGAAAGGGGUCAGGUAUGCAACUGGUGCAGAACCCAGGUAAACAGUUCAGGCAAACAGAGGCUUCAACUGCACUGGUUUUUCACAUGACAGACAAGCAGCGCCAGCCCAGCAGAACAAGUUCACUCACCUCAGGCAGCUGCUCUUCAGUGUUAUGAAAGGGCAGCAAAUCGUUAGUUGUUGAAUUCAUUUUAUUGCGUUUUUACUCCCAGGGUGCUAAAACAACUUGAUUAGCAUUGGGUAACAUGCACCAUGACUAUGACACUUCCUGCUUUGUUCCCGGCAGCAAAAUAUAUUUGGCUUGUCUUACAGAUAUGAGCCACUGCAAGGCCAGUGUAGACUCCUCUACAAUUUUUAUGCCUGGCUUCCAAAUGCUAGUGAAAAUGCAUGUAGAAAAUAUAGGUCCACCUUUCCUGGUGAUGUUCUGGGUUAGCACUCCCAAAGCUGAACCAAGAACUCGGGAAUCUGUUUUACUGAUGUGCCUAAAAUCAGAGAGCACACACAGGAGGUCCCUUUGCACACACACCCAAAUAUUUGAGGGGUGUGGGGGGCCCCAAAUUUCAUGGUCAUUGCCAUUCAAAUGGUGUGUGCGUGCCAUGUUAUGCGAUCGAUUAUGUGGGGCGGGGCUUACCUGCCCUCCCCCAGUUUUAUUAAAGUUGGCACCCCUGCACACACACACACACACACACACACACACACACACACACCCCACCAAUGCAUUCCCUGCAUAGACCUUCCUCGGUCAGAAACAAGCAAGGCUGCCAACUUUUUAUCUAGCAGGGCUCCUGUGACUAAAACAACUGCAUGACAAGCAGGAAAUCAGCAAGCAAAGCUUUCCCUUUCACUGCAGGGUUGCCUCCAGACUGUCAGCAUUUUGCAGGAGGGAGUGAAAUGAAUACUGGCAAUGUAGGUUUGCACAAUUCAAGUAGAUUCAAUCUGUCGCCCUAGUGCAACAAAUCCCAUUAGAAAUAAAUGAUGAGAAAUGAUGGGGAUAUGCACUGAAAAAAUUGGGAGGGGAGAAUCAAUGAUUAAUAAGUCAGGAUGCAUGUUCAUUGUCAAAUAACCUCCCUGCAAACAAACAAAUCAGAAUGAAUGCUCAAGAAAGACCGGAAAUAAUCUAACCUCUGCAUAAGCUUUGUGCAAGCAAAUCAGGAUUGAAUGCUCACUAAAUAGGUCAUCUGGAGGAACCCUGCUAGAAAAAAGCUUCACCAAGCAAAUGUUGUGCUUGUCAUGUAGUUGUUGAAGAGCAGCCCUGCUAGAUAAAAAAAAAAGAAAACAGCUGGCAGCCAUGAGAUGGAAUUCCCCUCCCCUUCUACACUCCAUUUCAAUGCAAGGUCAACUCGAAAAAGUAAGGAAAUCUUUAAGUGUAAAUGCAUUUCUGAUACAUGGGACAUUAGUUGGUUGCUGGAAACUUGUGGGGAAUCCACAGUCAAUUAUCCUGACGUGGAAUUGGAUUUGCAUAGCCAUUUGACUACGUACACAAACAGCAAAAUCAUACUUUACUCAUACGGCCAUUUUCUAUGGGAAGGAUGAAAUCACUAUUCACAGUCAGCCCCGACAGUUGUGUUGCUGCUGCUUAGCAGGAGGGAGAGUGGAGAGUUCAGUGUGGUGCAAAUGCAGUGUUCCUGCUGGUGUGUUUUCACUAUGCUGACCUCCCACUAAGCGGCGACUCAACUGUCAGGAUGUCAAGUGAGCAUCUGCCACAGAGUGUGGCGGCUAUGGGGGCUUCCAUGCUGUUUCUAGCUGGGAUUCUGAUGCAAAAUUAGCAUUUGCUCUAUUUGUUCUUUAGAUGUCUGUUUGCACUUUACCUGCUCUGUUUUUAUGGUGAUAAACAUUACAAAAGACAUGGUAAAUCUACAAUGCUCAUUUCAUCCAAAAGAACUCUCUACUUGAGGAAGAUGAAUAUUUUGGAAGUUUAAGGCACGGCCACGUGCAUCAUCUAACUACAAUAACUACAGCAACCCUAUAAGGCAGGAGUGAGGAGCCUGUUUGGCUUGGUGGAUCAGAUCUUUAUCUCGCCGUCCACACUGAUGACGUCAGGCGAUUGAUAGGUAGGCUCACCUGUCAAAGUAGACCCACGGGGUGGAGGGAGGGACCUGAUUUGCCAGUUUGUUCCACACAGGGAACAUGCUGGGAAAGCAGCUCCAACAGGAUCAAACUCUUGGCUUGUCAGCUGAUGAAUGAAGACUUCCACCCUGCUUCUGCAGGUGCAGGGUUGCCGUAUUUCAAAAAGUAAAAACCAAGACACCCCAAAAGUUGACUUUCCUAAGUUCCAGGACAAAGCACCACCAAUUCCACCUUUGAAAUCCCAGUAACGUCCAGAAAAAUCUGGGCGUAUGGCAGCCCAAUGCAGAUGGCUGUUUUGCCAGCACCAAGUGGAAGGUGCAUCAUUCUAUUAUUACCCUGUAUUUUAGAUGGAGGUGAGAGAGACCGGCUUGAUGAAGGCUGCAGAGCAUAUCCGCUCCCCCCCCCCCCCAACAUUUCAAGAGGGAAAAUUGGAGCAACACACCAACACUGUCGCUCACCCACUUCCUCCCCUCCCUCCUCCCUCCAAUCGUUGUCCUCUGGCCUUCAGUGUUGCCGCCUCAGAAGAUGCUGUGCUGGUCCGCACAGCCUAGGGGAAGACACAGCCACCGCCUCUGCUGCUGGCACCAGCUUCCAAAAGUGCCGCAAAAGAAGGAGGAAGAAAAGUAGAAGGGGCAAGUUUAUUCCCGCCCCCCCGCCCGCUUUUUUCAGUGUUAACUAACUGACACGAGCCACAGUGUGGAACCAAAAGCCACCUGUCUUUUGGCCCUGCGUUCUGGCGUGGCCAGAGGACAGGAGCCAAAACAGGACAUCCCUGGAUUGGAAUUAGAAGCUGCUAGGGUGGCUUUUAUAAAUUUGGAAUGUUCCACUUGGAGGGCAUGGCAUAGUGAGUUCAUGGCAAACGAGAGAUUUGAACCUGACACUUUCCAACGCCAGCUCUCGCCUCAGUUGUAUUAAGGCUUGAAUAAAUGAAAAUCCUUGGGUAAAUUAAAUUAAACAUCACCCAUCUUCUUCAAAUACGUGAAAAUGGUGUUGUGGUAAGGAGAGAUCACACUGAACCAAUUAAUCAGUUUGGUAAUUGGCCUGGGCAGCGUAUUCAGGAAUGGAGCACUGACUCCUUGUGUGAUAGUGAUUUCCCCCCACCCCCACCGUUCAGGUCAUAUGACUGAUCACUAUCCUCUGACAUAGUUGUUUGUUCCAGUGUUGAGUUCCUGUGCAUUAUCUGCUGAUCUAGCCUUGGCUGUCUAGACCAAUUCUUUCUAGGAGAUUCCUGUUUACCUGAAGAGAUGUGGUGUUUGCAUCUCUUAUAAACAGGUGACCAAGGAAGUGUCAGUGCUACCACAAUGACCUUAGCACUGUUUCUUGCAGAGGUUACAAUGGCAUUGCAAACUUAAACCAGUUUUAUGCCUCUUUGACCAUCACUGUUUGCUGAAAGUAGGGUUGCCAACUUGUGAUUUCAUCCUCGUUUUCUAAAAUACUGAUAAUGACUUCUCUGGGCUCCUUCAGAGCACAAUACAAAUUGAAAUAUUAAUAACAGUAAUAAUGUCUGCAGGGUCUGGGUUUCUGUAAAUAGUUUUCUCAUUUUGAUGACAGUCUGGUUUUUUCCUUAGAGACCAUAAUGCUCAGCUGCCAUUGGUUAUAACUUAAAAAAAAUUCAUGCACAGAAAGACCAAGAAUAAUUUUAGAUUUUAGCUGAAAGUCAUGUGUGGAGAACCUGAAUUCUGCCACCAAAUAUACAGCCUUCCCCAUAAAUUUGAUUUAUAGGCCUUUCAUAAAUCUCAUCUGAAUCCUUUCUUUCUUGAACUGUUCUGUUUGGAAGUUCAUAUAAACACACAAAAGAUGCCCUUUUGGCUGUUCAUGACAUUAUCAGAAUCAACCUACGAAAGGGAACUAAAACAUCCUCAAAGUGCUGGAUGUAAUCAAAGGCCCAGUAAUAAACAAACACUACCUGAGAAAGGAGAAAGAAUGGGAAGUGUCAACCUUGAAAAAUAUAGGCUCCAUUCACACACCACUGUAAGCCAUUGUUAAUUCUUAAUGGUUUAUCAUGGAAAUGCACAGUACUGUUUUCUAGAAAAAGAUGUGCCGGAACUCACCAUGAACACCUCCCUUGUUCUCUUACAAUGGCAAUGGCCCCACCUGAGAGCUGCUGGAACUGAGUUCCACUGAUUUCCAGCUGAAAAAAAAGCCCUGGAAAUGCAGAUGGCUUCUGAUCUCCUCGCCUUUAGUCAGCAGAGCAACAAACCACAACUGAUGACUUAGCAUUUCAUGUGAACCAGAGACUGUGCUUUGCUUUACUCAGACAAACCAUGAUCAGGAAGCCAAGAUCAAACAUUGGCUUUGCAUCAUGGUUUGCUUGCAGCGAAACAAACCACAACCCAUGGUUUAGUCAUAACGGUAUUCAGGAGUGGGGCAUUGUUCAUGCUGCUUAGAGGGAGGUGAACAAUGUGGGAGCCAUCCUUGGUUCUAUGGGAAACCAUCAACUAUGGUUUACUGCAGGGCAGGAGAAGGUCACCUAGUGGGGCUGAGCUUACAGCCUCCUAGCAGCAGCAGUAGCAUUGCUGUCAUUUCUCAGCAGGAGUGAGGCAGCAGCAAAGUUGGGGCUCCACUGGCAGGAGUUCCAGAUUGGCUCCACCGGAGCAUUGAAGAGCCCCCAACAUCACUGCCUCCUUGGUGCCUCCUCUCCCAGUAAUCAGCAGCAAUGCUGCUGCUGGGAGGUUACUGCUGCAGAUUCACCCCACUGGGGAAGCAGCUCUUGCACUGGGGUAGCCAACAUGGUGCCUUCCACAUAUUUUGGAAUUGAACCCCCAUCAUCCCGUCCUGGGAUGUUGCCUGGUCUCCUUUGUACUGCCCAGGACUCCUGGGAAGAAGGGCAGGAUAGAGAUCUAAUAAGAUGAAUCUCAAAUCCUUGGCCAUGCUACCUGGGGCUGAUGGAAGUUGUGGUCCACAUUGGCUAUCCCUGGUUUACCAUGAGAUAAGGUGGUCGCUGUGAGCAAGCUGAGUAGCAAACCAUCUUUUACAAUGGAUACACCUUUUCAACACUGCCUUCCAAACAGCUUAUUAAUGCUCCAUUACAGAAUUUUGUAAUAAUGAUUACAGAAGUAUCUUUGAUAUGGUUACCUUCUUGCUCAGUUACAAGAACAUUUAAAUAUUCUCUGGUGGCAUGUAAAUAAUAAUACUCCUGGUUCCCCCCCCCCCACUGAAAAAGUGAAACUGCCAGACUGAUUGCAGCUAAUGUCACCCAAACCCUUAUUUCCAAGGACAAAAGGCUAAUGUUGAAAUCCCUGUGUUCAGAUAUUUCAUCCAAGCAAUUCAUUCCUCUCUUAGCCUUUCCACCCAAUAAAGUUGGGGUAGGGGAAAAGAGGAAGGGGAUUUGAGGGGUCGUGGAGUGUGGACAGAUACAGUGUAGGUUAGGCCACAGAAAAACAGAGGAUCAAGUACAGGCACCCCAAAAAACACCCAAUACACCCCACAAAAAAGGCAGCUCCACAGACUGAUAAAAUUCCCAAUGCAUUUCAACAGAACCCUUUGUCAACAGAAAAUUUCUGUAUAAACAAGAACAAAACGAUGCUUCCCGGUUUUGGGGGAAAUGGCCGUGGCUUAUUUCCAAUCCAAAUCUGACAGGAGCCAAGUUGUGUGCCGUGGGCAGGAGUCACCCCUCACUAACUGCAAUGCAUCUGUAAAAGGGCCAGUGUGGUUACAAAUCAUUUUGGAACUCUAUGAAAUUGUUAGCCCUGGGCCGAAGUAAGCCUGCGGGACUUCAACCGUCAUUAACCUCCAAUGAGGAAGGAAGGAAAUAAUUAUAUGUUUAUUUCACUGAAGACAGCCCCUUCCUCUGAAGCAUUGGCAUAUGCUGUGAAGUUGUUUAAUCUACUUAUUUUUCCGGUUUUCUUUCCAGGGUUGCAUGGAGGCUGGGAUGGUAAAUUAAAAUCUUCUACCUCUUCUAAUUAAUCAUGCAGGUGUGAAUGAGCUCCCCAAACAACUUGCAAGAAAAAAAGCAAAAGCCCAUGUAACCAAAAGCUGCCGAGCCAUCUUGAAUGAAAGAUCAUGUUAGUAGCAUAGUAUUUUGAUCAUUCACCACUUGUUUCUCCCAGAAACCAUCCUUAGCUAAUGCCCCGUUCUGCCAUAAAAUAAUUAAAUUAUAUUACAACCAUAAAGUGCAUAAUUUAAGUCAACCAAGCAUUUCAACAAAUUGGAAUAUGGUGGCAAGCUGAAGCCAUGAACCUUUAUAAAUCAAUCAUCAACUGAUAAACACAGCAAUGAUUAACUCCCAGAACUGGUGUCCCCAAAGUUGGUUUAUUGAAAACAUGCUGAGGGCGGAUGAUAUUGGGUAAGUUAAUUGCGGGAGGGGGAACGUUGGCGGGGCAUAAACCUAGCAUGCGUUUGACGUGAUCUGGCAGGGGGGGAAAGCCUAGUGUGAACUGUCCAGAGAUCUCCAGUGUUUUUCCUUCUUCUUGCAUGAGAAUAGUGGCUAUUAUUUGGCAUCUCUUACACAGACUUCCCUGACAUUAAUCAGCAGUGCGGAAGCUACAACAUCAGUUCCUUCCUGUACAACUAGAGUGCCAUCAAAACCUCUGGACCACGUGGGAAGUGCAACUCCAAAAACUGGGGCACCCAGUUUCCCAUAGGAAACCGACUCCCUCAUGGUGGUCUGGAGCUUCUAAACAGUGUGGGAAGCAGUCGUGCCGUUGUAGUGGCUCCCUCUACCCUCAGGGAAUUGCUGUACGGUACUCAGUGGUAGAGCAUCUCAAAUUCAAUUAGAGCGUGGUGCUGAUAAUGCCAAAGUUGUAGGUUCAGUCCCUGUAUGGGACAGCUGUAUAUUCCUGCAUUGCAGGGGGUUGGACUAAAUAAUCCUCAGGGUCCCUUACAACUCUGCAAUCCUAUUAUUCUACUUGGAACACCAGCACAACAGGCAGAGGUUUAGGUUCAGCUAGACUUAUUACCCCUGGCGUCUCUGUUUUCAAACUGCAGGAAUGAAACAUAAGAGAUUAUUUAAAUGUGUAGUCUGAAGCAACUAUACCAUACGAAUAUUCUAAAUGUGUUUCUCUUCCCUUAGGGCAUGCCAGCACAUGAUUCAUUCUGAGGAUGAUGUGCUAGAAUGAAAUCAUCACACUCUGUAGGUAUGAAAGGUAAUUAUUACCAGAUUGGUACAGGAUGCGCAACUGAUGUAGGCCACAGAAUUUGGAUCCUGAGUCAUAAGAGCAAAGGAUUACCUGAUCUUUCUAGGGAUGUGCCCUGUAUUUUUGGAUUGUACGCUAUACCAAAAGCACUAAAGAGCAGGAAGGCAUCAACAAGAGAUAUGUCAUGGAAUAGGGCCAUGGAAAGGGAAUCCAUUUAAAGAGACAGCAACAUAGGGUUUUUGUUAUUUAAAUGAAGGCUCUGGUUCAAAAUUUGCAAUAUUUGGGGUGCAUGGGUGGAUAACAUGUUUGCCCUGAGGACUCACUCAUGAAGCCUUUUGGCAGCCUUGCACAAAAUGGGAAUACCUCUUACAGAAGAGGUAAGUUUAGAUCUACUCCCAUGUGGUUUGGGUUCUCGUCCCCCUCAACUGAAACUUUCUAAAAGCUGAGAAUUCAGCCACAUCCAUUAUACAAGCAGUGGUAGCUUAAUAACUCUAGGGCAAAGAGAAGAUGCUUGUUUCAGUGAGCAGUUCCAAGGGGGUUCUGGGAGAUAGAGACAAAAUGGGUGAGGAGCUUCUCCACAGUUCCAGGAACCUCAAACAUCUGGAAGAAUCUGAAGGCCAAAUGGGUUACUGUGAUAUGUUGGCUUCAGAGAAUGUUUGCCCAGAAAUUACCGGACAAUAAAGGAGCAAAGAAAACUUCCUGCUAAUCAGGUUUGAAAACUCAAGAGUACUAAUCCUCACAAAAAAGCACCAGGCUUGACUCUUCUUUGAAAAGUUUAAAGCUGUUAACAUGUUUUCAAAGACAAUGAAUCUGGGUGCUGUUUUCUCCUAUGGGGAGGGGGCUUUGAGAGGGAACCCCUCUGGGUGUUUCCACAAGUAGCAUUAAAAUUCAAAACAUUCCCAUGCAUUAAAUAUUUGGGUGCAUGUGUGAAUGUUGCUGACGUGGGUGGAGAAUAAAUUUUAAAACUGAAGGUACAUUCUAACCAAUCAAAUUUUUACUUUCACAUUUCAGAUUCUGGGAGCUUUUCAGUGACACGCACGGAAGUUAGAUGUACAACUUAAGGCAACCAUUUGCGCAAUUUGCUUGGUUAAACUCUGGCAACACUUGAAAGAGGGAAAAACACCCAGUAAUACUUUUUCAUCCCCAAACAGGCUGAUGGUCAAAAUUAAAGUCCUAGUAGGACCCAGUACCUGGUGUUUCCUGAAGGAAAGCAUAGCCAUUCAUGUUCCAGAAGGACCUGAUGGUUCUCCAAAAAGAGAGAGAGAGAGAGAGCUAGAGGAGCCUCACACCCAGAGGCACAGGGGUUCUGAGCAGGGAGCCAUGUUCUGUCUGACUAAGCAAAAGAGAAGCCAGCUGGAGUGUGGGCUGCAGGGCUAAGAUAAUCCCCUUAAUGCCAGUCACAAUGAGAUUUGAUUGGAGGCAGGAGUUCAUGCUGUGGAGUUUAAGGAGUGCUGCUGAGUGCUGGAACAGGUUUCGUAAGGUAGCCCCAAGAGCUGUGCUACUGUGGCCAUGUCCCAUGACCAUCCUGUGCUGAACAGACCACGUUUCCAAAGUGGCUGCUGCUGAAUAUGCACUCGCGUCUGCAUGUGAUUCGUCUGGAGUCAAAGAGUUUAAAUGUAAUAAAUUCAUAGCAUGUCUGCAGCACUUUAUCUCAGAGAACAUCCACACCAAAUGUUUAAAGCACAGGGUUUCUCCCAAAGAAUCUUGGGAACUGUAGUCUGUUAAGGGUGCUGGAAAGGUUAGCUCUGUGAGAGGUAAACUUCAGUUCCUGGGAUUCUUGCGGGGGGAGGCAUGUGAUUUAAAUGUCUGGAGUGGAUGUGGCCAGUUAUGUUUACAUACCCUCCAAAAUUUCUCUGAUGGAACUAGGGAUGUCCUAUUCAACAAAAACAAGAAGUUUAUUAUUUAUACCCCACCCAUCUGACUUGGUUGCUCCAGCCACUCUGGGCAGUUUCCAAUAUAUAUAAAAACAUUAAACAUUUUUUAAAAUAACUUCCCUAUACAGGGCUGCCUUCAAAUGUCUUCUGAAGGUUGUAUAGUUACUUAUCUGCUUGGCUCAGGGGUUGCAUAACGCCAUACCCUCCAACCUUUCUCCAAUGACAAUAGGGACAUCCUAAGGAAAAGCGGGAUAUUCUGGGAUCAAAUCAGAAACCAGGAUGGCUUCUGUAAAUCUGGGACUGGAAAAUAGGGACACGUGGAAGGUCUGAUACUGCUGUUUGCAUGUUCAGUAGGUGUGCAAAGCCACUCUGUUGUUUGCACAUAAAGGCUUCUCACAUGCUGGCAGAAUGAGCCGCAGGUGGGGGAGCUAGACUGUGCAGCUGAAUUGCAUUGAUGCAAAAGGAUGCUCUGUUGUGAAAAUGGCUUCACUGGUGUGUAUUUUAAGGGCUGGGCUGAUUUCAAACCAGCCCUUUAUCCACAUCCCUAGGGUUCCCCAGGGCCCACUGCAACCACACUGUAUAUUAUUAUUCCUAGUUUCCCAUCCCAAAUGCUUUUUGACAAGGGGAAGAAUUUGACUUGCGUCUCUCGGGCAUCAGCACUUCCAGUUUUUGAUGAUAUACAACAAUACCGAGAGCAGAUAAGGCAGUUCCUUUCUCGCUUACUGGAAAGCUUUCUGCUGGCAUGGAGAUGGAGAUAUGCCACCCAAGCCAAACACUUCUUUGCAGGUGUACAUGCAGGUGGGGGUGCCAUGGAGGUUUUUAAGCAAAGGCUGGAUGGCCAUCAGCCAUGGAUGCUUUAGUUUAGUUGCUAUUCCUGCAUUGCAGGGGGUUGGACUAGAUGACCUAUGGGGUUCCUUCCAACUCUACAAUUUCUUGAUUCUAUGAACCCUCUUUUUGCACAAGCAAGCUGCAGUCUGCAGAAAGGGGAAAUGAUUGCUGUUGGAGUAUAAUGAUUUGGAAAUGAAUAAAAUGUGGCUUCUGUGCAACGGGGAUGAAUUGAUACUCCAGAAGGUGUGAAAAAGGAAUUAUUCGACUGAAGACACCAACAGUGCAAACUUAUGUGCACCUAGUCAAAAGUCAAUCCAGUUGAGUUCAAUGGGGCAUGCUCCCAGCAGGUAUAUGGGUCUAUGACAGCAGCCCAACACCACAGUUCUUUAAAUCCCUAUUCAACAGUAAAUCUCACUGAAUUCAGUGGGGCUGCUCCCAGGUAGAUAUAUGCACAUUCUAUGAAGCCACAUUGCACUAAAUGGGACUUACUUCCCAGCAGGCAUGCAUAGGAUUUUGCCGUAAGGCACACUUACCCAGGAGUAAGCCCUAUUAAACACACUCAACUCACUUACAAAGAGGUAAAUGCCACUGACCACAACGUGGCUUCCUUCUGAGUAAACACAUUUAGAAUUGCAGACAGAAAACUCUUCUGAUUCCAGUAUGAGCUACGUAACUAUGCAAAUGCAAUUACUUUAUUAAAUUUAGAAUUACUAUUUUGCAGUUACCCAUGAGUGUGCUUUAUUGUAUUGUGAUUUUAUGUUUUACUGUUGCAGAAAGAUGGGAUAGACAUUUUAAUAAAUAAGGAGUGCAGAAAUCCAUGGAUAUUAGUAGGCAUGGUCCUUGCCAGAUGUUCGCAAACAUUCAUUUAACGUGCUUAUUGGCAGGAAUAUGUUUUAAGUUAAAUGCUGCUAAAAAGCAGCUGCUAGGGUUCCUCUCUCAGUUUCCUUUUGUUGACUUCUCAUCGCCCCCUAGUGACAAGUCAUUGAAUCCAAGUAACUUUCCCUUUUCCAUGAAAGGCGACUUCACAAUGCAGGUACAGUACAGAGCCAUCCCACUGUUGCCUCUUAUGAUAAACUCAGGGGUGUACAAAAUAUGCACAAAGCAUGUCAGAUGCGAAGAUGGUCUGCAAGCAUGUGAGACUCAAUAUAGCCCUGAGUCUUUCCUGCUUGUUGCUCACAUUUCAAUGGCGAACAUAGCAGGUUUUUUAAAAGUAAAUCCUUAAUAGCAUGUGUGUUAUAAGUGUGUGGUUUUUUUCCACCGGAUGCCCAUGCACAGAAAGUAUAAACAAGCUGCUCUCAAGUCCUACUUAUUAGUGUUAGAAAGCAGUCAUGAAUCUCUGUUGUAUCACAUUUGCAACUGUAAAGCCUCUUACACUCGUCUUGAGCUGCUGUGAUGUCAUGGAAUGUUCACAAGUAUUUAAAGUGCUCAGGAAACAAUCUAUUGGAAUAUUCAUUGUCCAUUUUGAGGAAGGAAAGGGAAUGCCAGUUUUGUCUGGAGAGAUUAUUUGUGGGCCAUGAGGAGGAUAGCAAAGAGCCCCCAGACAGUAAGGAAUCUAAAAAGUCAUUGAGUGGUGCUGAAUUUUACAUCUACAUUUUAACUUGCCAGCCAAUUCUUUGGCUACAGACUGGUACAACAUAUUCAGUACUGCUGUUAAUUAAGUUUAGUUCUUUUCUGUGAGCGCAGGAGGCUGCCAGUGCCCUUUUUCACAUGUAACUCCAAGCCAAAGCAUGGCUCAGCGAAUGUUCAGGCUCCCACAGAGGCGAUUGUGGCUGCUUUACUCCUCCUCUGCUUCUGCACUGAACUCAGCCAUGCUUUGGCUUAGCGUGUUGUCUGAACUUGGCUCUCAGACAAACCACAAACUAUAAGCCAGGGGUAGGCAACCUAAGGCACAUAGGCCACAAGCGGCCCACAGGGGUCGUUUAACCAGCCCACAAGCCACCCCUGAACCGAGCCGCCCACUCAGUGAGUCCCCGCGCGCUCCACUAAACUGGCGCAGUGUGGCGUGGGGACUCGCUUCUGCAGACGCCGGAAAUCGCGGGUGCGCGCACUCACGCGUGUGAGCAAUCUCACCCACUGAGGCAGUGGCGUAGCGUGGGUUGUCAGCACCCGGGGCAAGGCAAGUAAUUUGCGCCCCCUAACCCAUGGAUUUUAGUAGGGGCAGAAAGCUGCGAGUGCGAGCGCCCCCCCCAGAUGUUGCAGCCGGCCCCCCCUGCACCCCCCACGCUACGCCACUGCACUGAGGGAUCUACACCGGAGUGAACCAGUCCAGGCGAGGUAAACCUUGCCGACCCCUGCUAUAAGUGAUAAGACAUGCCUUGUUUAUGGCUUGCGGUUUGUCUGGCGAGAGUUAAACCACAAACCCGGGUUCAGAUGCCAAACCAUGGCUUCACUCAGUGCAGCACAACAGCAGAGCCACUAGAGAGGAGCGAAACAACCAUCAUUUCCUCUCUGGGAAUCCACAUGUUUGCUCAUUCACAUUAAGCUAUGGUUUGGAUUCGUGUUACCCCUAAACUGGGCCAAAUAAUGUCAACUCUGCCUGAUAGUGACACAUGGAUUUUGAAAUAAGUUAGAACAGAUCUACUUGCCUUAAUCUUAAAUGAUCACCAAUAUUGAAAAGGUGAGCAGAUACAACUGCUCUCAAAUCACCCUGGGAAUAAUGUCUUUUCCUACACAGGUGACUGCUUUUUCCUGUAUAUAUUUUUUUACAGCUGUGAUCUCUCUCUCUCUCUCUCUCUCUCUCUCUCUCUCUCUCUUGGUGUACCGUCUGCUGUUAUGACUCUCAAACGCUCAAGAGAAUCAAUGCCGUCACCAACAAAGCCAGCCCCACCUAUGAGGCAGGGUGAGGUAGCCGCCUCAUGAGGUGGAAGCUUAAAGGGGAGUGCUCCUGCGGGAGCCCCAUCUGCCCUGCCAGCAGAGAAGUGGAAGAUAGCACUGGAUGGCUCCAUCAUUGGUGCUGCUCUGCAGGCACCACUGCACAACCCAGGUAAGGAGGACUGCAGAAGGGCUGCAUGUUCCCAUGUUGGCAGAACAGGACACACUGCACCCUGUUCACCAAGAAAGGAGAAGUUCAGGUUUGACCUGAACUUAACCUGGUGAAACUUCCAUCAUCAUCAUCAUCAUCAUCAUCAUUAUGGCCUUUGUCUAAAGAUCUCAGGGCAGUGUUCAACACAUUACGAAACAUCCAUAAUAAAAACCUGUCCAUUAGUCUGGAGUCCCAAUGGAUAAUGGAGGUUUAAAAGGUAAAGGUAAAGGGACCCCUGACCAUUAGGUCCAGUCGUGACCGACUCUGGGGUUGCGGCGCUCAUCUCACUUUAUUGGCCAAGGGAGCUGGCGUACAGUUUCCGGGUCAUGUGGCCAGCAUGACUAAGCAGCUUCUGACGAACCAGAGCAGCGCACGGAAACGCCGUUUACCUUCCCGCCGGAGCGGUACCUAUUUAUCUACUUGCACUUUGACGUGCUUUAGAACUGCUAGGUUGGCAGGAGCUGGGCCUGAACAACGGGAGCUCACCCUGUCAUGGGGAUUCAAACCGCCAAACUUCUGAUCGGCAAGUCCUAGGCUCUGUGGUUUAACCCACAGUGCCACCCGUAUCCCUAUUGGAGGUUUACUGCUCUGAAAAAAAUUAUUCCCCCAACAAGCGGAAGUAAAAUCAAUUAUGCAAACACACACACAACAACAACAACAACCCGCAAAUAAGCUGAACACCUCAUUUAGAUCACAGAGAUGGGCUUUUCUUGGUAAAGAAUUUUGGGUUUCCCUCGCCACACAUCACUGAAUAGGUCCAAACUGCCAUUUUCUCUUACAUCCUCUGCACCCCAAUUCAGGAAAGCAGUUUUGAAAACGCACCAAGGAAGAAAGGGGAUUUACGGACCAUGAGACUAUUCACCUCAGGGUCAUGGGUUCGAGUUCCACGUCGGGCAAAAGAUUCCUGCAUUGUAGGGAGCUGGACUAGAUGACCCUCGUGUUCCCUUCCAACUCUGCAAUUCUAUGAUUCUAUGGGACAUCAUUCCUCCUCUUUAAUUGGCCUUGCCUUUUCAAAGUGUAUUCCAACUGACAACCACUGCCAUGGAGUAUAUUUGCUGUGGGAAGAGAUUGCAGCUACACCCAGCGAGACAUGCAAGGCACUCAGACAUGACACGUGCUUACAAAUCUCUUGUCGUGGAGGUAUAAUUUUCCAAAGACUGUAAGCAGAAGUUGGUGACUGAUUAGCAAAUGCACAUGGAGUCAGUCUUGGGAGGAAGGAGGCCGGUAGGCCCCAGCUGAAUGUCUCCAUUAGGAGCUUGGGGCUUUGAGCCAUAAACCUGGUGAACCAAUCUGUGGCGGGUGUCAUUUAUGUGUCGGCAAACACUCUUAGCGAGGUCUAGUUAUUGAUUUGGACAGUAUAAAAAGGCUGUUGUGCCACUUGUUCAGGUUUGCGCAGGUUUUAUGACUCUUGUUCUGAGGAGUGUCAAUCUGUUUGGUUUUGCCUUAUUCCCUCAGGUCUCUUGUUGACAUUGGCUGAGCUAAGUGGUGUGUAUCCAC